rnacentral:tRNA from 2 species
CGGGAUGUAGUAUACCGGUAGUACGCGCGCUUCGGGUGCGUGAAGACAGGGUUCGAUUCCCUGCAUCCCGACCA